rnacentral:rRNA from 1 species
GUCCUCUUGUUUAUUUUGGAGGUCUGACCUGCCCAGUGAAAUUUUUAACGGCCGCGGUAUUUUGACCGUGCAAAGGUAGCAUAAUCAUUAGUCUUUUAAUAGGGGGCUGGAAUGAAGGGUUUAACGAAUCAUUAGCUGUCUCAUUUUUAUAACUUAAAACUUAAUUUUUAAGUUAAAAAGCUUAAAUGGUAUUGAAGGACGAGAAGACCCUAUAGAGCUUUAUAUUAUAUUUUUUAAUGAAUUGUUGAUUUAUAUUUAUUUAUUAUAAUAAUUUAAUAUUUUGUUGGGGUGACAGAAAUAAAUAAUUAACUUUUUUAUUCUUUAAACAUAAAUUUAUGAACUUUUGAUCCAUUAUUAUUGAUUGUUAGAUUAAGUUACCUUAGGGAUAACAGCGUAAUCUUUUUUUGGAGUUCAAAUUUACAAAAAGGCUUGCGACCUCGAUGUUGGAUUAAGAUUAUAGUUUGGUGUAGUAGCUAAAUUAAUAGGUCUGUUCGACCUUUAAAUUCUU